UCCUACGGGACGCAGCAGUGGGGAAUUUUCCGCAAUGGGCAAAAGCCUGACGGAGCAAUGCCGCGUGAAGGUAGAAGGCCUACGGGUCAUGAACUUCUUUUCCCGGAGAAGAAGCAAUGACGGUAUCCGGGGAAUAAGCAUCGGCUAACUCUGUGCCAGCAGCCGCGGUAAGACAGAGGAUGCAAGCGUUAUCCGGAAUGAUUGGGCGUAAAGCGUCUGUAGGUGGCUUUUUAAGUUCGCCGUCAAAUCCCAGGGCUCAACCCUGGACAGGCGGUGGAAACUACCAAGCUGGAGGACGGUAGGGG
rnacentral:rRNA from 1 species